GACGAACUGUCCAAACGUUGUUCGGAAUCACUGGGCUUAAAGGGCGCGUAGGCGGUCAAACAAGUCAAGGGUGAAAUCCUGUAGCUUAACUGUAGAAGUGCCUUUGAUACUGUUUGUCUGGAGGGAGAUAGGGGUGUGCGGAACUUCCAGUGGAGCGGUGAAAUGCGUUGAUAUUGGAAGGAACGCCGGAGGCGAAAGCGGCGCACUGGAUCUCUUCUGACGCUGAGGCGCGAAAGCUAGGGGAGCAAACGGG
rnacentral:rRNA from 1 species